UCAGUGACCUGGCAGAGGAGAUACCUGAUCAAGAAGGCGGUUCAUCCGUGCGAGGCUCAGCUAUUGUGCUCCAGGUUGUGUUGCUGACCCCUGCAGCAAAUUCCCCAGUGUGUGAAUCUGGACUGCAUCAUUUCUGGUAGUGGAGGGGGGGCUGUGUUUGUGCUCUCCCCUG